rnacentral:rRNA from 1 species
AGCGAACGCUGGCGGCAGGCUUAACACAUGCAAGUCGAACGCACCUUCGGGUGAGUGGCAGACGGGUGAGUAACACGUGGGAACGUACCCUUUGGUUCGGAAUAACUCAGGGAAACUUGAGCUAAUACCGGAUACGCCCUUUUGGGGAAAGGUUUACUGCCGAAGGAUCGGCCCGCGUCUGAUUAGCUAGUUGGUGGGGUAAAGGCCUACCAAGGCGACGAUCAGUAGCUGGUCUGAGAGGAUGAUCAGCCACACUGGGACUGAGACACGGCCCAGACUCCUACGGGAGGCAGCCUGAGACGCCAAGGCACACAGGGGAUAGG